UUCCGGUUGAUCCUGCCGGAGGUUACUGCUAUCGGUGUUCGCCUAAGCCAUGCGAGUCAUAUGCAGCAAUACAUGGCGUACUGCUCAGUAACACGUGGAUAACCUGCCCUUGGGACCGGCAUAACCCCGGGAAACUGGGGAUAAUUCCGGAUAACGCAUAUGUGCUGGAAUGCUUUAUGCGUAAAAUGGAUUCGUCUGCCCAAGGAUGGGUCUGCGGCCUAUCAGGUAGUAGUGGGUGUAAUGUACCUACUAGCCAGCGACGGGUACGGGUUGUGAGAGCAAGAGCCCGGAGAUGGAUUCUGAGACAUGAAUCCAGGCCCUACGGGGCGCAGCAGGCGCGAAAACUUUACAAUGCGGGAAACCGUGAUAAGGGGACACCGAGUGCCAGCAUCAUAUGCUGGCUGUCCAGGUGUGUAAAAUACACCUGUUAGCAAGGGCCGGGCAAGACCGGUGCCAGCCGCCGCGGUAACACCGGCGGCCCGAGUGGUGAUCGUGAUUAUUGGGUCUAAAGGGUCCGUAGCCGGUUUGGUCAGUCCUCCGGGAAAUCUGAUAGCUCAACUAUUAGGCUUUCGGGGGAUACUGCCAGACUUGGAACCGGGAGAGGUAAGAGGUAC
rnacentral:rRNA from 1 species